rnacentral:rRNA from 6 species
UGGUGGGUAGUUUGACUGGGGCGGUCUCCUCCUAAAGAGUAACGGAGGAGCACGAAGGUUGGCUAAUCCUGGUCGGACAUCAGGAGGUUAGUGCAAUGGCAUAAGCCAGCUUGACUGCGAGCGUGACGGCGCGAGCAGGUGCGAAAGCAGGUCAUAGUGAUCCGGUGGUUCUGAAUGGAAGGGCCAUCGCUCAACGGAUAAAAGGUACUCCGGGGAUAACAGGCUGAUACCGCCCAAGAGUUCAUAUCGACGGCGGUGUUUGGCACCUCGAUGUCGGCUCAUCACAUCCUGGGGCUGAAGUAGGUCCCAAGGGUAUGGCUGUUCGCCAUUUAAAGUGGUACGCGAGCUGGGUUUAGAACGUCGUGAGACAGUUCGGUCCCUAUCUGCCGUGGGCGCUGGAGAACUGAGGGGGGCUGCUCCUAGUACGAGAGGACCGGAGUGGACGCAUCACUGGUGUUCGGGUUGUCAUGCCAAUGGCACUGCCCGGUAGCUAAAUGCGGAAGAGAUAAGUGCUGAAAGCAUCUAAGCACGAAACUUGCCCCGAGAUGAGUUCUCCCUGAGACUUUA